rnacentral:rRNA from 1 species
UCUGACGUUAGCGGCGGACGGGUGAGUAACACGUGGAUAACCUACCUAUAAGACUGGGAUAACUUCGGGAAACCGGAGCUAAUACCGGAUAAUAUAUUGAACCGCAUGGUUCAAUAGUGAAAGACGGUUUUGCUGUCACUUAUAGAUGGAUCCGCGCCGCAUUAGCUAGUUGGUAAGGUAACGGCUUACCAAGGCAACGAUGCGUAGCCGACCUGAGAGGGUGAUCGGCCACACUGGAACUGAGACACGGUCCAGACUCCUACGGGAGGCAGCAGUAGGGAAUCUUCCGCAAUGGGCGAAAGCCUGACGGAGCAACGCCGCGUGANUGAUGAAGGUCUUCGGAUCGUAAAACUCUGUUAUUAGGGAAGAACAAAUGUGUAAGUAACUAUGCACGUCUUGACGGUACCUAAUCAGAAAGCCACGGCUAACUACGUGCCAGCAGCCGCGGUAAUACGUAGGUGGCAAGCGUUAUCCGGAAUUAUUGGGCGUAAAGCGCGCGUAGGCGGUUUUUUAAGUCUGAUGUGAAAGCCCACGGCUCAACCGUGGAGGGUCAUUGGAAACUGGAAAACUUGAGUGCAGAAGAGGAAAGUGGAAUUCCAUGUGUAGCGGUGAAAUGCGCAGAGAUAUGGAGGAACACCAGUGGCGAAGGCGACUUUCUGGUCUGUAACUGACGCUGAUGUGCGAAAGCGUGGGGAUCAAACAGGAUUAGAUACCCUGGUAGUCCACGCCGUAAACGAUGAGUGCUAAGUGUUAGGGGGUUUCCGCCCCUUAGUGCUGCAGCUAACGCAUUAAGCACUCCGCCUGGGGAGUACGACCGCAAGGUUGAAACUCAAAGGAAUUGACGGGGACCCGCACGAAGCGGUGGAGCGAUGUGGUUUAAUUCGAAGCAACGCGAAGAACCUUACCAAAUCUU